rfam:Schistosoma haematobium scaffold1791_5, whole genome shotgun sequence.
ACACUGUUGAAGAGUCCAAUACUAGGAUGAAACGACCGUCCAGUGU